rnacentral:lncRNA from 1 species
AUCCUUUUAAUCAUUAGUUAUUUCCUUUAUUGCAAACUGAUUUAAGAAGUCCAAAAUUUAGAAAGAUAAUAAAACACAAUACUCUUAACUUGAUAUUUAUUUUUCAUUCGAUUCAUUUGAUACAUCCAAUUAACCAUAAAAAUUUCUUUGGUUAUACAUUUAGAGGCUAAUAAAAAAUACAUCAAAUUUACCCAAAAAUCUAAACAUACAAGUCUUAAGUAAAAAGAAAAAAAAAACUAUGCUCAAAAGAGAAACUAAAAAUGUUGUAAGAGCAAGUUAAAAAAGAAAACAAAAGGAAAUGACUACAAAAAUUAAAAGAAAAACAUCAAACAAAGACAACUUAGAAAGACUGUAGAAGUUUGGUGGAAGAAGAAGAAUGAGAUGGAGUUGUACAUUCCUUAAGUCCAACAUGAUCUUCACCAGUAACUCUUUAGCUCUGGGUUAAAUGAAACUUCGUCUAGACUUAUAACCUUUCCUUGCAGAGAGACGAGUUCACUCAGAACUCGUUC